AUGGCAGAGAAGGAUUCAGAUGGACCCUAUACUACUAAAGGGUUUAAUGGGAAAGCUCAGGUAGAGAGUAACCUUCAGAAUUCAGAAAACAGAAAUCUUUGCUCAACAUUCAAAAUGGAAUUUAGUGAGGUCUCUCAGAAUCUUGGGAAAUAUCCACAGUCAUCUGCUUCUUUACACUGCCAUGAGGAAAUAAUUUGGUUCUGUCCAUUUUCAGCUUCUAUUGGCAUGACUCUCCACCCACUUAGAAGGCUCUCUGCUGUGUACUAUCCGGUAUCAUCCAGUGUGUUGGAGGCUAUGGGAAGAUGCAAAGACCUAUUCCUACGAGAGCACCCACAAACUCUGUCCAGCACAGCCUCUCCAGCAGGCCAUACUUUGAACCAUUCUCAUUGCAUUUGAUGUGCUCUACACUUGCUCUCAGUGUAAAUGUGUGAAGCAUCCAAAGGGAAUAGUAGAUGCUGACAGACAGAAAGAUAGCCUGUGAGGAAUGGGGUACCAUACAGAUCACUCUAACACCUGAAGUAAGAGUGUUAUGGAAUAG
rnacentral:lncRNA from 1 species